AUCCUUUACAAGGACCAAUUGGAGGGUAAGUCUGGUGCCAGCAGCCGCGGUAAUUCCAGCUCCAAUAGCGUAUAUUAAAGUUGUUGCGGUUAAAACGUUCGUAGUUGAACUUGUGCUUCAUACGGGUAGUACACCUAAAUUAUGGGUUAGUACAUUACCUUAUUGUAUGUAAGCGUAUUGCCGGUGGAGUUCUUAUAUAUUAUGUAUAUAUAUUAUGCAUAAUAUAUUCCUCCUAUAUAAACCUGAAUCAAUCCUCUUUACCGAGUGUUGUUUUGGGCCGGUACAAUUACUUUGAACAAAUUAGAGUGCUUAAAGCAGGCUCUUAAUGCCUGAAUAUUCUGUGCAUGGAAUAAUGGAAUAAGACCUCUGUUCUAAUUUCAUUGGUUUUUAGAUCAAGAGGUAAUGAUUAAUAGAAGCAGUUGGGGGCAUUAGUAUUACGACGCGAGAGGUGAAAUUCUUGGACCGUCGUAAGACUAACUUAAGCGAAAGCAUUUGCCAAAGAUGUUUUCAUUAAUCAAGAACGAAAGUUAGAGGUUCGAAGGCGAUCAGAUACCGCCCUAGUUCUAACCAUAAACAAUGCCAGCCAGCAAUUGGGUGUAGCUACUUCUAUGGCUCUCUCAGUCGCUUCCCGGGAAACCAAAGCUUUUGGGCUCCGGGGGAAGUAUGGUUGCAAAGCUGAAACUUAAAGGAAUUGACGGAAGGGCACC
rnacentral:rRNA from 1 species